rnacentral:lncRNA from 1 species
UGUUUCUUGGUUAUCAGAACUUCUGGAUCUUCAGAGCUUCUAGUGACUGAGUCCUCAUCAGAGUUUGUGUAACUUCAGAACUUCUGAAGCUUUUCCACUGUUCAUACUGAACAUGGUGAAUGCGAAAGCGUUGCUUGGGUCACUCUUUAUACACAGUGCUUCUGAUUUGUGUGAGAUUGAGUUGAGGUCAGAGCCUGUAAAUGGCACACUCAGAAAAACACGUUAGAGUACCACAAUUGUUCAUAUCAAAAGGUUAACUUGUAAUCAUCAAAACAUAGAGUUGUACUACUAGAUCAAAACUUGAUCUUACAG